rnacentral:rRNA from 1 species
UGCGCAGGCGGUUUGAUAAGCCAGAUGUGAAAUCCCCGAGCUCAACUUGGGAACUGCGUUUGGAACUGUCAGACUAGAGUGCGUCAGAGGGGGGUGGAAUUCCGCGUGUAGCAGUGAAAUUCGUAGAUAUUGGGAAGAACACCGGUGGCGAAGGCGGCAACCUGGCUCAUUACUGACGCUGAGGUGCGAAAGCGUGGGGAGCAAACAGGAUUAGAUACCCUUGUA